ensembl:lncRNA
CUUCCAUCCAAUCCCAUGUCCCUCUCUCUUAUCUACUUCUGAAUGACUAUGGUUAAAGGCUUAUUAGUUAUUCACUUAAAUAUUCUGAGUCUUCUUAAAGCAUGGCUCUCUUAUAACAAACCUGCUGUUAUUACUCUGUCUGAAACUUGGUUAAAUAGUAAUGUACGUGAUGAUGAAAUAAAUCUCGAUGGUUAUAAUGUAUAUAGAGCAGACAGAGGCAGUCGUGGUGGAGGAGUUGCUACUUAUGUUUCUACAAGUUUAUCUUCUGAGCUUAUUAUUGCUAGUGAAAGCCCCAUGCAUUUUGAAUGCCUUUUUGUUAGAAUAUGUUUUCAUCAAAACAAACGGUUGAUCAUAGGAAACAUAUACAGACCCCCUAAUUCUCCAUCCGAAUCAAUAAAUAAUAUUCUUAGUACUAUUAAUUCCUUAAAUUGUCUUGAUAAAUUUAUAGUAUUGGGAGAUUUCAAUCGAAAUUGGCUUGAUAGGUCCUCUUUGAAAGAGAAGAAUCAGUUUGAAAGCCUAAAUCUUACUCAAUUAAUACAAGAGCCUACCAGAGUGGAGGGGAACUCCAGGUCUCUCUUAGACUGGAUCUUGGUCACGCAUCCCGAUAGAAUUGUUGAUUCAGGUGUUUUAUCUGAUUGCUUAAGUGACCAUUUAGUUAUCUUUUGUAUCUGGAAAAUAAGGUUACCUCGUCUACCACCUAAAAUAAUCAAGGUAAGACUAUUUAAAAAUAUGAAUAAUGAUGCAUUUAUUCAAGAUUUGUUAUGUAUUAAUUGGAACAGGAUGGAAUUAAUUCCUUAUGUUGAUGAUGCCUGGAAUUUCUUUUAUACUGAGGUAUUAAAAGUUAUAGAUAAACAUGCUCCAUGGGCAUCAGUCAAAGUGAAGGGUAGACAUCUACCAUGGAUUGCUGGUGACUUAAUAUAUCUAUUUAAGCAAAGGGACAAGGCUUGGGAAAAAUACCAUUUAACAAAAGAUCUGGCAGAUUGGAUUGAAUAUAAGCGAUUAAGAAAUGUAUGUACUGUUAAAACAAGAAAUGCCAAAUCUGACUAUUAUAAAAAUU